rnacentral:rRNA from 1 species
CCUACGGGAGGCAGCAGUGGGGAAUAUUGCACAAUGGGGGAAACCCUGAUGCAGCGACGCCGCGUGAGCGAAGAAGUAUUUCGGUAUGUAAAGCUCUAUCAGCAGGGAAGAUAAUGACGGUACCUGACUAAGAAGCCCCGGCUAACUACGUGCCAGCAGCCGCGGUAAAACGUAGGGUGCAAGCGUUGUCCGGAAUUACUGGGUGUAAAGGGAGCGCAGGCGGACCGGCAAGUUGGAAGUGAAAACUAUGGGCUCAACCCAUAAAUUGCUUUCAAAACUGCUGGCCUUGAGUAGUGCAGAGGUAGGUGGAAUUCCCGGUGUAGCGGUGGAAUGCGUAGAUAUCGGGAGGAACACCAGUGGCGAAGGCGACCUACUGGGCACCAACUGACGCUGAGGCUCGAAAGCAUGGGUAGCAAACAGGAUU